rnacentral:lncRNA from 1 species
UCCUAUGUAAGGCUUCUGUCCUUCUCUCGCAGGAAAAUAGAAUUUGCCUUGUGACCUUGAAGUCUGUUUGGAUCCGGGAAGGUGACUGGCGUCUGGAACACACUCCCUGGGCAGGAACUGUUUGCGCGCGGCCCGCAUCCGGGAUUUCAGGAAGACUCUUCAUGACAGAUGUCGGCUGACUGCCACGUGCGAGGCUAUUCAGACUGUGAGCUCCCCGCGGGCAGGGUGCCCAGCAGAAUCCCAGCACAUACAGGCCCUUCCUUGGUGGGAUGGAUGCUCUGAUAAGAGGGAAUGAGAAGUGUCACUGGAGUUCUCAUUGGCUGAGCAUCCAGGACCAGGUGGGAGAAAGCGUCGACUCUGGGGGAGGUAAGAAGAGAUGAGGCAUCACUUCCAUUUGCAUUGAGAACACAUGCAAGGUUGGCUUGAGCACCACCCCUGAGUAGAAGCUGGUGUCUACUGUCUUAGGCCACAACGGCUCAUUCCAGACCCCCAGUUUCAACCAUUUACCAGACUUCCCCAUCCCAAACAGUGAAGUGAGA